UACGGAGGGGGCUAGCGUUGUUCGGAAUUACUGGGCGUAAGGCGCACGUAGGCGGCUUUGCAAGUUAGAGGUGAAAGCCCGGAGCUCAACUCCGGAAUUGCCUUUAAAACUGCAUCGCUAGAAUUGUGGAGAGGUAAGUGGAAUUCCGAGUGUAGAGGUGAAAUUCGUAGAUAUUCGGAAGAACACCAGUGGCGAAGGCGACUUACUGGACACAUAUUGACGCUGAGGUGCGAAAGCGUGGGGAGCAAACAGG
rnacentral:rRNA from 1 species